GACACAAAACCCUGUGCUUCCUCUCUGUCUCUGGAGCCUUGUAAGACCCUUCCUCUUCCCAGCAUAUCAAAUUGCAGCUGUCUCAAGCUGACUGGCAGCAAAUUGCUGCUCCCGAGUCUGCCCUUGGGUUUUUUCCAAGUAGAAGGAAAAGGCUGAAAGUUCCCGGUCUCUGCAGUCGCAGCUGUCCCAGCGAGCUCAUUUCUGCCCUGCUGAGAGACGCCGGCACCCUCCGGGCGGGGCCGGGGAGCACCCCGUCAGGUGGGCAUGGUGCCUGCCUUCCCCAGCCUGACGGGAACAGACAGGGACAAAGCAGGUUCCAGGCCAGCUCUAUGACUGUGCUGUCCCCAGGGAAGGAAGGGUCCUCCUGCCGCGCUGGCUGCUGGUGACCUGGCAGGGGACAUGGAGCUGCUGGCUGUCACAGCACCAGAGGAAGCAGGGAAGGAUGCAAGAGCAUCACAAGCUGAGGUGGAAGGAGCAGAAAAAGCAGCUGCAAUGCCAGAGGCAGAAAGCCUAGUGGGGAAGGUGGUCACUCCUGAAGGAGCAGCAGCAACCGUGGUGGGAGCGUCGGAAAACCCAGCAGCAGAGAGAGUGGCUGAAGCUUUUGCCAGGGCAGCAGAAAGAAUUGCAGUAACAGAAGUAGCCAAGGUGCUGCAGUCAGCAAUAGCUGAGCUCAAAGGGAAGAGGAAGGACAUGUGGAUAAAGCCAAGGAACGCCACUCAGCAGGAAGAGGAUUGGAUGAAAGAGGGAGAGGUGAAAUGAAAUGGAGAGGUGAUGUUCUGGGUCAUACCUCCUAAUGGCUCAAACCAUCACUCCUGGAAUGCAAUAGGGCUGCCAAUCACAUCUCUUUUGGGACUCACUAUACUGUUAAAAAUAAAUAUAUGGCAUAUUCUGCAUGCAGUAA